rnacentral:rRNA from 1 species
ACUCCUACGGGAGGCAGCAGUAGGGAAUCUUCCACAAUGGGCGCAAGCCUGAUGGAGCAACACCGCGUGAGUGAAGAAGGGUUUCGGCUCGUAAAGCUCUGUUGUUAAAGAAGAACACGUAUGAGAGUAACUGUUCAUACGUUGACGGUAUUUAACCAGAAAGUCACGGCUAACUACGUGCCAGCAGCCGCGGUAAUACGUAGGUGGCAAGCGUUAUCCGGAUUUAUUGGGCGUAAAGAGAGUGCAGGCGGUUUUCUAAGUCUGAUGUGAAAGCCUUCGGCUUAACCGGAGAAGUGCAUCGGAAACUGGAUAACUUGAGCGCAGAAGAGGGUAGUGGAACUCCAUGUGUAGCGGUGGAAUGCGUAGAUAUAUGGAAGAACACCAGUGGCGAAGGCGGCUACCUGGUCUGCAACUGACGCUGAGACUCGAAAGCAUGGGUAGCGAACAGGAUUAGAUACCCUGGUAGGAUAGCG